rnacentral:tRNA from 1 species
GGGCCUGUAGCUCAGACGGAACAAGAGCGUCUGUCUUCUAAACAGAGGGUCGCAGGUUCGAGUCCUGCCAGGCCCG